AUUGAACGCUGGCGGCAGGCCUAACACAUGCAAGUCGAGCGGCUGCAGGGAGCUUGCUCCUGGAUUCAGCGGCGGACUGGUGAGUAAUGCAUAGGAAUAUGCCUGGUAGUGGGGGAUAACGUCAGGACACGGGGACUAAUACCGCAUAAGUCCAGAGGGCGUACGGGGGAGAUCAUCGGACCUCACGAUCUCAGGUGAGCCUAGGUCGGAUUAGCUAGUUGGUGGGGUAAAGGCCUAACAAGGCGACGAUCCGUAACUGGUCUGAGAGGAUGAUCAGUCACACUGGAACUGAGACACGGUCCAGACUCCUACGGGAGGCAGCAGUGGGGAAUAUUGGACAAUGGGCGAAAGCCUGAUCCAGCCAUGCCGCGUGUGUGAAGAAGGUCUUCGGAUUGUAAAGCACUUUAAUUUGGGAGGAAGGGCAGUAAGUUAAUACCUUGCUGUUUUGACGUUACCAACAGAAUAAGCACCGGCUAACUUCGUG
rnacentral:rRNA from 1 species